rnacentral:rRNA from 1 species
AUGAUGUCCACCAUGGCGCGCGAGUUUGAGAAUGCAGCUGGCCGCUGUAAACUUCUUGAGAAGGAAAAUGAAGCCAAAACGGCUGAACUUGACAAGGCCUUACGAGAGGCGAGAGAAGCGCGGUCUGAAUCCAGAGCAGCCCGUGAAGAGAUCCGGCAAGCUGGGGAGAUUGUGGCUGGCAAGCCCUUUUUGCUACAGGCUAAGUUCAGCGAUCCGAACUAUGCUCAGCUUAACCAAGUAUGGAGUUCUCCGGACAAUUUUUUAGACUUGCCGAAGAGUUCUUCCGAUGCGGCGCGGUUUUAUCAGGCGCAAGAGGGGUGUGCAACGGAGAAGCUUUUCUGGUCACAAUUUGGCGCGUCGAAGCGCCCUCUGUUGCUGAAUGAACAGAUGUCCCAGUGGGCCGAGCUGCAUAGGAUAUCCGACGCUGCCAUGAAGAACGUCAUAGUCCGGUUGUGGCCGACUGAACCUGUUCCGAGUAGUUACUUCGGCCUGGUGCAGCGGCUUGCUGACGUGGUACCGCGUAUCGACGCUGUGAAGCGGUCGGCGUGCAUUGAAGGUGCACGGAUGGCCUUCGCCCGAGUCAAGACAUUCUGGGGGAAGAUGAAGGCCAUCGAUGUUGCGACGAAGAGUCCACCCAAAGGCCAGGACCGUCCGGAACCGGAGCAUUAUUUUGGAGACGUCCUAGAGGCCGCCCGCUUGAUAGAGGGUUAG